rnacentral:tRNA from 1 species
GGACUGUGGCUCAGCGGUAGAGCGCUUGCUUAGCACAUGCGAGGCCCUGGGUUCAAUCCUCAGCACCA